AAUAAUUUGACCAUGAAUCACUUAACAGCAUUUUUAGCUAAUGUUAGAAAAGGCCUUGAAAAUGCAUUAAAGGUAUACCCAGCGCAGAUCCACCAAAUUCACAUAAUUAAUAUGAGAAGUUUCAUGCAGCCGUUAUUUAAUAUCAUAAUAAGUCUUUUGAAUAAGAAAAUUUCCCAGAGGAUAUUUAAUCACAAAUCCAUCGAAGAUCUGAAAAACAACAUCGAUCCUAGUAUUCUUCCACUUAACUACGGAGGAACUUAUCCC